CUAACUGUAGGCUGAGGGCUCAGUGCAACAAAAACUUGAGUUGCCCACAGAACAGCUACUCUGAUUCAGAUGAAAGCUGGGGAGGACUUCGGUCCUUCUUGGAAAAUACUUGUGCUUUUUUGUUGAUUGUUCUUGUUCCCAACAGAGACAGAAGUGAACUAAUCUCCCAAACUGGGAUGCUCAGAGAUGUCCAAAGUGAGAUAGGACUGGCAAGAAUACAAUACACAGAUUAAUAAGGAAGUCAUUAAGGGAUAGAAAAGCUCUGAUGUGAUGGAGUGGCUUUUAGUUUGAAGAAAAAUAGAUUUGGAGUGGCAGAGUUGCACAUGAAGCAUGUAGGAUGAGGUGCCACGUGGCAACAGCUUUCUCUUCUGGCUGUGCUGAGGAGCUCUCAGCACACUGUACUCCCACCUGCCAUUGCAGCAGCUCAUGUGUGGAGGCACCUCUGGAGAACACCAGGUCCAAACCCCAGCCCAAAGCAGCGCCUCCUGGAACUACACAGGGCCAUGGCUGAGUGUGAGUGGGCACCUCAGGGAUGAGGAAUCCCUGAACUCCUUCUUACUGUUCUUGCAGCAGACCAGUGUGAGAGAUGGCAGAGGUGUUUGGUUCAACCAGAUGCCACUGUGAUCAGGCAGACAGUGGGAAGGGGAAGCUGCACAGGCUUCACAAAGAGUAGUUUUUAAAAUGGAUUUGUUUAGUUAGUGCAAAUGUUCUUGUGGACUGAGAUUUUGCUCUCCCCUGGCUGCAGCAAACGUAACAUAAAGAUGGAAACAUAUGGGGCUGAUGUUCUUCCCUGAGUAUGCAAUAAAAUACAGAAAAAAAGAACUAAGAAAAAUGACUGUUUGUUAGGUUCUAUAAGCAAAAAAAAAUAGUUACGAUUUAUUAUUUUUCUACAUAGAUGAAUUACUACAAAAGUGUGAAACCAAUUAGUUUAAUUACAAUAAUGUUUCAAUGUAAUUUUUGUUUUGGAAUUUGAAUUGACAGUUGUAAUCUUUCAAUUCAAAAGUCCAACGUUUGGCUUUUUUAAUGCGCUGCAUCACACGAUUGUCACUCUGUAAGGUUUACUACUCAAUUAUAGAUGUUUUCCUUUAGCAAAGGCUCGCUGGUGGUGGAGGCAUUUAUGUAACCCAGGCAAUUUGGAACUUAUUCGGGGUCUGCAGUAAAAUGCUCAGCCAAAUGGUUCAGAUAGUAAAAGGAACCUCUUUUAUUUUAUUUCUUUUCUUUUCUUUUCUUUUCUUUUUUUUUUUUAAUAGGAGAUCACAAUGGUGGCUGAGAAAUCUUUGUUGCUCCCUUUUCUCCCAUCAGCAACACUCAUAUCCAGGCUGAAUAAAUCCUUCAACAGCAUUCUUUGCUUGUGGCCGUUUGAUGUGUUUCCAAGCAGCUACAAACAUGGGAGACACCCAAACUGCUUAGUGCCAGAAAGGCUGAAACUGCACUGCCAUGGGAGCCUGAACGGCAGAGGGGCCACCUGUCAGUGCCCUGCAGGACCCAAGGUGCUCACCCACCCACUACGCAAGAAGCUCCUCAUGUCCUUCCGCUCUGCGGUGGGCAGCACCUGGAGUGCCUUUCCUAGCUCUGAUUCUAUUCUUCUGCUCCAAAGCAACAAGCCAAACUCCCCACCAGCAUUCAACCUCCGUGCCAAAAAGAAAAUAACAAGAGUAAAAGCACUGCACAACAGAAACACAUAGGACAGUGAAGAGGCUGGGAUUGCUGGGGAGUCCAGCAUAGUCGCGUCGGGGUGCUCAGGUCGGUGCUGCUGCAGCAUUCAUCCAGGCCAAUGGGGAAGGUAGGUGGUUGGUGGCUGUGAGCACCUCCCCUGGAUGGAAAAUGACACCUCUGCACAGCUCUGGACAUUUCUGAAUGCCACAGGAGGUUGGGGAGACCAGCCCAGCUGGAAAGAGGGUAGACAUGCUCCAGCAUCAAUGCCAUCAGCUCUGACAAGGUCCUGGCUGGCUGCAGCACGCUGAUGUCCUCAUAAACCAAGGCUUUCUCUCUGAUGGCUGUGCAAACGAGAAGCUGGGCUUAACUGGAGCACAGUGCUGUUGCUGGCUUUAACUCUCCAAUGAACUCUCCAAUUCCCAUUUUCCCAGGGCAGUUCAGCGCCAGGGUAAAUCAGUGCAUGUGUGCAGCCCUGCUGCCAGCUGGCUGCUCCUGCCUGCAGCGGUGUCUGGUCACAGCUCUGGGGAUGUGCCCUGCAAGUCCCCCCUUGGCAGCACCUCCUGCCUGCCACGCUCACUUCCUUCAGCCUUUGCCUUUCUCCCUGCUCUGGUCCUCUGACUUCAGAACAUGGCUUUCUGUUUUAGUUCACUUCUGUAUUUAUACUGGGCCAAACUGACUGGAUACUUUCUGAACAGGGUGACCUAGGAGUUUUGAACAGACCAUCUUGUCAAAAGUUCUGUUAUUUCCCAUAACAAUGUGGUUUGGUUUGUUUUAUUUUCUUUUUUCUUGGUAAAACUGUCAAUAGGAACCACUUCUUGAAAGUCAGAAGAUGCAAAGCAGACCUUCCACAAGGAUUCCCCAAGGAGCAGAGAAUUUGAGGAUCACUGCGAAGGGCAUCAUUGCUCCUUGCUGUUCAUCCCAAACUGUCUUCAUUCUCUCACCCUGUGUAUUCCUGCACAACGGGACUGAGGGAAGUGCAUGAGAUCUAUUGCUGAACUGUGGUGUGGAUAGACUUUGUCUUCCUCAGCUAGCAUUCUGUCACCUUUCAAGAGUGAAAAAUUCAUUUUUAAAACAAAAAUCCCAAGUAAGAAACCUCACAUAGUUGCAGGAAACCACCACAGAGGUAUACAAUAUCCAGCGGAAGACCUUGCUGAAAACUGAACAGAUUACUCUUGUUAUAUGUGGUUAAACUGGGCCAUUAAUGCUAAAACAGUUCAAAGCACAAAAUAAAUUCUGAUUUUCUCCUGUCAAAGUUGGUGGUUUGGUGUUCACACAUUCUAGGCUCCGGUUAAAUGAUUUACUGUACAAUUUAAUGCCUUUCAGCUGUCACUAGCAUAAAAGGAUCCCUUGAAUGAUCUGCCAGUGAAUGAAGGCAGCACUUGCCCAGGGUGGAGUGUGGCCAGGGCUGCAGGACCCAACUUGCCAAGAUACUCAGGAACAAUCACGUAAGCCACUGUGACCCAUGUGUGGUACCCAGCGAAGUGAAGGCCACCUUGCUGUGAUCACAUCUGCAAAACCACUUCAUUUAAAGCAUACUGAGACGUUCACUCUGCUGUGGAACUUUUACGAGCAACUGCCUUUACAACAGCUCGCACCAUAGGCACGCUGCUAUUCUUUGUCCUUCUUUUGAACUCUUCUCUGCUCCCGGUCUUCCAGCGGUGUGAUUUUUUGAAGUUUUCCUUCACAAUAGCUUCUCAAAAUCCCAGUUCUCACAUAUCAACACAAAUAGGAGAAACAGUUGCCAUGGGACAGUGAAAAACAUAUUUCAGGAGCUCAGGAGCAAAGAAGGAAAUAAAAAAGGCACUGGAUUUCAGCAGUUACGUGUUGUAGUGUUUGACGUAGCUCUGAGUUCUUUGCUUUGUCUCUAGCUGAAGUGGUACUGUGCCUCUCAUGUUCAGCAGUGGGUGCACUCAGCAGUGGGUGCAGCUCUUAGCAGUGACCUCAUGGGGACACGGCAGUGCCCAGCACUGCAGCCAUGCUCUGUGGAACAGAGAGGAGAAUAUUGGUGUCACCUAAAACU
ensembl:lncRNA